AGUAAUGAAGUAAGAUAUUACACUUAGUUUCGACCUAAGAAUCAGAGAUUAAACUCCUUACUU
rnacentral:tRNA from 1 species